AUUGAACGCUGGCGGCAGGCCUAACACAUGCAAGUCGAGCGGAGCGGCGGACGGGUGAGUAAUGCCUAGGAAUCUGCCUGGUAGUGGGGGAUAACGUCCGGCAACGGGCGCUAAUACCGCAUACUAUCAGAUGAGCCUAGGUCGGAUUAGCUAGUUGGUGGGGUAAAGGCCUACCAGGGCGACGAUCCGUAACUGGUCUGAGAGGAUGAUCAGUCACACUGGAACUAAGACACUGUCCAGACUCCAACGGUAGGCAGCAGUGGGGAAUAUUGGCCAAUGGGCUAAAGCCUGAUCCAGCCAUGCCGCGGGUGUGAAGAAGGUCUUCGGAUGGUAAAGCACUUUAAGUUGGGAGGCGUUACCAACAGAAGAAGCACCGGCUAACUCCGUGCCAGCAGCCGCGGUAAUUC
rnacentral:rRNA from 1 species